rnacentral:rRNA from 1 species
UACGUAGGUGGCAAGCGUUGUCCGGAUUUAUUGGGCGUAAAGCGAGCGCAGGUGGUUUCUUAAGUCUGAUGUGAAAGCCCCCGGCUCAACCGGGGAGGGUCAUUGGAAACUGGGAGACUUGAGUGCAGAAGAGGAAAGUGGAAUUCCAUGUGUAGCGGUGAAAUGCGUAGAUAUAUGGAGGAACACCAGUGGCGAAGGCGACUUUCUGGUCUGUAACUGACACUGAGGCUCGAAAGCGUGGGGAGCAAACAGG